rnacentral:SRP_RNA from 1 species
GCUGGGAGAUGUGGCGCACUCCUGUAAUCGAGCGACUUCGAGGCCGGGGAAGGUGGACGGCUUGAAAAAAAAUACAAAACCGAAAAGAUCUCAAAAAAACUGUAAAAGAAUAGUUGGACGCUUCCCUCU